rnacentral:rRNA from 1 species
AUACGGAGGGUGCGAGCGUUAAUCGGAAUCACUGGGCGUAAAGCGCACGUAGGCUGCUUGGUAAGUCAGGGGUGAAAGCCCGCGGCUCAACCGCGGAAUUGCCUUUGAUACUGCCGAGCUAGAGUCCGGGAGAGGGUAGUGGAAUUCCAGGUGUAGGAGUGAAAUCCGUAGAGAUCUGGAGGAACAUCAGUGGCGAAGGCGACUACCUGGACCGGUACUGACGCUGAGGGGCGAAAGCGUGGGGAGCAAACAGGAUUAGAUCCCCUGGUAGUCCACGCCGUAAACGAUGGAUGCUAGGUGUCGGGGCCUUGAGCUUCGGUGCCGUAGUUAACGCGUUAAGCAUCCCGCCUGGGGAGUACGGUCGCAAGGCUGAAACUCAAAUGAAUUGACGGGG